ACUAUAGCUCAGUUGGUAGAGCGAUGGAUUCGUAACCCAUAGGUCAGCAGUUCGAUUCUGCUUAG
rnacentral:tRNA from 1 species